UCUGUCCUUUUGAUCCGUAAACGAGUAACCGGCCGUCCUCUCCCUGCAUCCGAGUGUGUGCGCGUGGUGUGUUUGCACACACCCUCCCGUGUGUUCCCGUCUCCUCACGGGCUCUGGUGAAUGGUUAACCCCGGCUUCAGCAAACACGCCACGGAAUCCACGACUCAGCACAGUCAGCGUUCCUCCCGGCACAGACAGAGAGCCCGGGUGAGUGAGUCCCAGACGGAACACGGGUUCCUCUUUCUCUCUUGCUGUGACGGACACCGGUGCUGAAAGAGGCCCUCCGGCAACACCCGAUGUCACCGCGGUUCCACGAAUGAGGCACGGUCACCAGACCGGGGUGCGUGAGACACUAUCAUCUACGGUCGUCCAUCGCCGCCGCCAUGGCAACCGGCCCGCAUCUGGAAGGGAUCAGGAGGGACUUUUCUGGAGGGGGAGGCGCGUGUGUCUCCAAUCUAAGUAACAGACGUGUCUGGUCCCUGUUCUGGACACUCGGUCUGACAUCAUGCGGAAUGCCAUCUGAAACGGGAUGAUAAAACUGCUACACAGGAAAGUCAGCCCUGGCCGGGUGUCUCAGUGGGUUGGAGCGUCAUCUUGGACACCAAAAGGUUGCGGGUUCGAUCCCCAGCCAGACCUCAUAUGAGAGAAAAGCAAUCGCUCUUUCUCUCACACUGAUGUCUCUCUCUCUCUCUCUUUCUCUCUCCUUCCUCUCUCUCUCUCUAAAAUCAAUAAAUAUACCCUUGGGUGACGAUUUAAAAAAAUAAAAACAAACAGAAAGAAAGUCAGAUAAUUGUCUGAGACCCAAGGCCCGUGAGGC